rnacentral:lncRNA from 1 species
UGACUAGCCUAAUGGCUCAACAUAUACAGAGUCAUGAAUAUCCUCAAAAUUACUCUUUUCAAGUCCAUCAACAAUGCCCAAGACAUGUCCACAUGUCUCAGAUUGUCUUCUAAAAUAAUAAAUUGAUGGAUUGGGAGGAGAAGCAAAUCAGCAAAGUGGAUAGGCAGCUGGCCUCAAAGUCAAGAACUUCUGUGUUCAAGGCAACUACGUGAUCCUGGACAAAGAGUGCUGGGUCCAGAAUCAGGAAGAUUAGUUCAAAUUCAAUUAAUUCCUAGUUAUGUGACAAUGAAUUACAAAAAUGAGGCUAAGAGAAGUUCAAUGAAUUGACCUGAAUUAUAUAACUAACACAUACCUGUGGCAAAAUUAGAACAUAUCUUUCUGACAAAAUUCAACACUAUCCAUAAUGGCACCCUGCUACUGAUUACCUCGGCUAAAUAAUCAAGAAUAUUUUUCAAUGAUUCCACAACUCCC